GACGAACGCUGGCGGCGUGCUUAACACAUGCAAGUCGAACGGAAAGGCCCUGCUUUUGUGGGGUGCUCGAGUGGCGAACGGGUGAGUAACACGUGAGUAACCUGCCCUUGACUUUGGGAUAACUUCAGGAAACUGGGGCUAAUACCGGAUAGGAGCUCCUGCUGCAUGGUGGGGGUUGGAAAGUUUCGGCGGUUGGGGAUGGACUCGCGGCUUAUCAGCUUGUUGGUGGGGUAGUGGCUUACCAAGGCUUUGACGGGUAGCCGGCCUGAGAGGGUGACCGGCCACAUUGGGACUGAGAUACGGCCCAGACUCCUACGGGAGGCAGCAGUGGGGAAUAUUGCACAAUGGGCGAAAGCCUGAUGCAGCAACGCCGCGUGCGGGAUGACGGCCUUCGGGUUGUAAACCGCUUUCGCCUGUGACGAAGCGUGAGUGACGGUAAUGGGUAAAGAAGCACCGGCUAACUACGU
rnacentral:rRNA from 1 species